rnacentral:lncRNA from 1 species
UGUGGUUCCUGAAAGCUUGUGUGGAAAGUGGACUAGUCCUGGUUGUCUUGUGACAGUCUGAGAAAUUUCCAGUCUAUCUUGGUGAGAAUGUGGAGUUGCCAGGGUAGUCAGCUCCCUGGCCUGCCCUUUCCCCACACACGAGGUUCGUGUCUGAUUUAUUUAGUGGCAGAUAGUGAACUAUGCUUGCACAAACAAAGCAAAGCAGACAGAAAAAUUUGCCAUAGUUAUAUUUAAAUGCUUGUUUCCGUGUGCCAUAUUUCUUUGGCUCAUGGAAUUACAACAGUUUUAUUCUGGUCAUAACCAUAGAGUAUGCAACCCACCCAAAAAACCAACAGUUCAACAGCUUAGUGUAUGCACUCACAGAGUAACUGUCACUUGACUUGUCUUGUUAUGUUUAUUUUAAUAAUAACAAUAUUAUUUCGUGUGUUUGUGUUUCUAUGUGUGUGUAGAGGCACACACAUGCCUACCAAGCUAUCUUGCUGUUCUAAUGUUUUGAGGUUUUGUUUUGGUUUGGUUUUGGUUUUGUCUUUUAGUUUUAUCUCUAAAUAUUUGUGCCUCUGACUCACUUUGAGCUAUUUCUGCAUUUGUGUGAGUUAGCAGUCCACCUUCUUGGUGGGGUUGUAACUAUAGAUUUUCCUCAGCACCAUAGAUUGAUGAGGACUCACUUGUCUGUGGCCAUACCACUGUGAAUGCAUCCAGUGUGGUGUGAAGAGACUUUCCUUCCCUAGCUGAAUUGUUUUGGCCUCUGGGAGUAAUUUUUGUUAUGGUUUUUUGGUUUUUUGUUUUUGUGGCUAAGUUGAGCUCUAUGUAAAUGUCGAAAAACAGAGUCACACCUCACCAUUAAAGACUUUGAAUCCAUGCAGUGAAAAAUAUCAUGUUUACACACAUUUGGAGAUGAAACCAUUUUUCCUUUUUCCAUAUCAUAUGUGGGGACUUUAUACUGAAUGACAUCUUAAUGGUAGCUAUCAAUAUCCUAUCUCUUCUUCAUAACUCCUUGUGAAAGGGUCUUACAGCUGCAGAUAAUCAAUAGAUCACAUGCUAUUACUUCCUGUUCUUGUUGCUGUGACAGAAUCCCUUACAGAAGCCCCGAAGGAGGAGAGGUUGCUGUAUCUCAGAGUUUGAUGGUACAGUCCAUCACAGUGGGGAGAGCACAGCAGGGUGGGAGCUGGCUGGUUGGCUGAGUUACAUGUGUAGUCAGGAGGCCUGCCUGAAUGCUAAUGUUCAGCUCCUUUGCUUCCCUUGUUCUAAUUCAGCCCAGGGCCCCAGAGCCAUGGGAUGGUGCUGCCUUCAUUUAGAGCAGUAUCUUCAUGUUAAUUGAGCCAAUCUAGUGACUCUCCCCCCUGAGACCCCAGCAAUCAGACUCUUAGGAGAUUCUAGACCUUAUCAAAUUUCAGUCCCUAUUAACCCUCACACUUGUCCAGGCUACUUGUCAUUAACAGGCAACAAAUGGUUUUGAGCCCUCGUCUCUGGAAUUUUGAUGAACUAACCAUUUCCUGAUAGCAUGUAAAUACAAUGCACAGAAUCUUGGGGAGAAAGAAAUGCUUUAGAAUGUUGUUAGUACGUCAGACAGAGUAGGAGGCAAAGGAUGUCCUCAAUUAAAGAAGGUAUGUCCAAGAGAAAGAUUGAACUUAAAAAAAUUCAAGACUGAUGUUUAAAUAAAAUGAUUAUAAGCCAGGCAUUGUGGUAAACGCUCUUAAUCCACCAUGUAAGCAGAGUUCAUGGCCAGCCUGGUCUACAUAGUGAGUUCUAGGAUAGUCAGGGCUAUGCAAAGAGAUGUGUCUUAAACCAGCCCCCCCC